CCCGAAAGAUCGAAAGAGGAGAUUCAUCGUCAACGGGGUCGGCUUCCAUGCGGUACGCGAUGAUGUCGAGUCUUCGGGCUCGAUUCACGCUUCCGCUGUGGUAUGCGUCCGAUCACGUCGGCGUGCACUUCUCCUCUAGUAGAACGUCGCGACCCGCUGAGUGUCGGUUUAAGGGCCAGGAACGUCGACUGUACCGUCGCCUCGGCGUUACGUGUGCAGACGCUUGGUCUCCCGAUCGACUGCUCGGCGGUAAACAUAAGGUAUCGAGCCGCACUCGAAUGCGUUCAGACUCGUUGCAAGCUGUAUCAUUAUUCACCCGGAUGUGCGGACCCAGUGCCGUACCUGGGAAUGAUUGGCUGUUGGUUGACGAUUGUCUCGAACCGGCUUACACUUGCUGUACAGCGAUACCGGUCGGCGACGCUAUUGCUUUGGGUACUUUCAGGA
rnacentral:rRNA from 1 species